rnacentral:piRNA from 2 species
UAUGGUUGCUGGAGAGAAGAGGA